rnacentral:tRNA from 1 species
GGAGAGAUGGCUGAGUGGCCGAAAGCGCCGGAUUGCUAAUCCGGUCUAGUGCGUUAAGCGCUAGCGGGGGUUCGAAUCCCCCUCUCUCCG